rnacentral:rRNA from 1 species
GGAUGAACGCUGGCGGCGUGCCUAAUACAUGCAAGUCGAGCGAACGGACGAGACGCUUGCUUCUCUGAUGUUAGCGGCGGACGGGUGAGUAACACGUGGAUAACCUACCUAUAAGACUGGGAUAACUUCGGGAAACCGGAGCUAAUACCGGAUAAUAUUUUGAACCGCAUGGUUCAAAAGUGAAAGACGGUCUUGCUGUCACUUAUAGAUGGAUCCGCGCUGCAUUAGCUAGUUGGUAAGGUAACGGCUUACCAAGGCAACGAUGCAUAGCCGACCUGAGAGGGUGAUCGGCCACACUGGAACUGAGACACGGUCCAGACCCCUACGGGAGGCAGCAGUAGGGAAUCUUCCGCAAUGGGCGAAAGCCUGACGGAGCAACGCCGCGUGAGUGAUGAAGGUCUUCGGAUCGUAAAACUCUGUUAUUAGGGAAGAACAUAUGUGUAAGUAACUGUGCACAUCUUGACGGUACCUAAUCAGAAAGCCACGGCUAACUACGUG